rnacentral:lncRNA from 1 species
ACGGGCCGUCUCCCGGGAUCGUGUCUUUCUCGGUGACUUGGCGCCGACUGAGUCCAGAUUUGCUUCAAGUCCGCUGGACCCGCCCUGCUUUUCACCCGGACUGUGAGCAGAGGCCUUGCGUCCAGGCUGUAGCGCCAGGCCAAGUCCACUGGCCUUGGGAGCAGGCCUCCAUUGGUUGGGGACCGAGGAAGCAGCCACACCUUGGCGGACUACUGCUGGAUGAAGCCUCGAAGUACUGGGACUUGUGGGGUCUGAGAGCAGAGACAUGAGGACAGAGAUUUAGGCCACAAAUUUAACUGAAGCCUCAAUGGAAAAUAUUUUGGGGGGGGGGGGGCGUGGAGGAGGUCUCCAGCGCGGCACGGUGCCUCUGAGUCCCUGGGAGAGGGGACUGUACAGGUAUCUUGAAGCCGUCAUCACUGGUGCUGAAAGCAGACCUUUUGGAACCUGGAAACCAAUACCUUUUGGAACCUGGAAACCAAUGCUGAUCCACAUCCUGCUCCAAACCAUGGGGCUGUGAAGGAACCAUUUUCUAUAUUUCUGGUCUCUUCUGGAAGCUCCUAGGUAGCACCAAAGUCACAUCUUGGGACAGAUACACGCCGACAGUUGAGGGGUGGUGUAGACUGUGGAGCAGUGACAAAAGGACCAUCCUGACCGUGAGGAUACUUCAGCCCUGCCUCCCCUGCCUUUGUACAUACAUUCGUCCUCUUCAAAAAUGCUUUUAGAAAACACUAACUAUAUUGAAAAGCCCUUGGUACUUCUUGGUCAUAACCCACCAAUCUAUACAAUGAGUUGCGGAUAUCAAGUUGGAAAAGGACAAAUGAUUGAAAACGGUACACUUUGAGGAACCAGAUAAGCAAAAGUAAACAAGCUCCACUCGGAGGCCCCUCCGCCUUCCUCCAAAGGCCAAAAGAAGGGCAGACGGAAGGAAGGAAGAAAGAAAUGAAGCAAGGUGGGAUGGAUGAACGUGCAGAAGAAUGUGGCUGCUGCUUUAAAUGUACCACUGUUUAAGCUCCAAACACAGUAGCCAAGAGCUCGUGUUAAAUGCCAAAGCUUCCUUCUCAGAAGUCAGAACUGACUCACUGACUAUCAAUGAAUCCAACAUCAAGACACAACAGUCCCCAAUGUGGAUGCAGGCUGGUAGGUUCAGCCAAAUUGUUUUUGGUUCGUCUGUGAACUGGGUUAUGGAUCCCAAGAGAAGGAAC